UAGGGAAUCUUCCGCAAUGGGCGAAAGCCUGACGGAGCAACGCCGCGUGAGUGAUGAAGGUCUUAGGAUCGUAAAACUCUGUUAUUAGGGAAGAACAAACGUGUAAGUAACUGUGCACGUCUUGACGGUACCUAAUCAGAAAGCCACGGCUAACUACGUGCCAGCAGCCGCGGUAAUACGUAGGUGGCAAGCGUUAUCCGGACUUCUUGGGCGUAAAGCGCGCGUAGGCGGUUUUUUAAGUCUGAUGUGAAAGCCCACGGCUCAACCGUGGAGGGUCAUUGGAAACUGGAAAACUUGAGUGCAGAAGAGGAAAGUGGAAUUCCAUGUGUAGCGGUGAAAUGCGCAGAGAUAUGGAGGAACACCAGUGGCGAAGGCGACUUUCUGGUCUGUAACUGACGCUGAUGUGCGAAAGCGUGGGGAUCAAACA
rnacentral:rRNA from 1 species